GCUCUGGUAACUCAGAGGCAAGGGUGUCUAGCUCCUGACUGGAAGGUCCUGGGUCCAAUCCCAGGUAGGGGCA
rnacentral:tRNA from 1 species